rnacentral:rRNA from 1 species
GUUAUAUGGUCAAGCGAAUAAGCGCACACGGUGGAUGCCUUGGCGGUCAGAGGCGAUGAAGGACGUGGCAGCCUGCGAAAAGUAUCGGGGAGCUGGCAACAAGCUUUGAUCCGGUAAUGUCCGAAUGGGGAAACCCACCCGCUUGCGGGUAUCCUGCAGUGAAUACAUAGCUGCUGGAAGCGAACCUGGUGAACUGAAAUAUCUAAGUAACCAGAGGAAAAGAAAUCAACCGAGAUUCCGUCAGUAGCGACGAGCGAACGCGGACUAGCCCUUAAGCUGGAUUGGUUCUAGGAAAACACUCUGGAAAGAGUGGCCAUAGAAGGUGACAGCCCUGUAUCUGAAAGGGCCAUUCCAGUGAAGACGAGUAGGGCGGGGCACGUGAAACCCUGUCUGAACAUGGGGGGACCAUCCUCCAAGGCUAAAUACUACUGACCGACCGAUAGUGAACCAGUACCGUGAGGGAAAGGCGAAAAGAACCCCGGAGAGGGGAGUGAAAUAGAACCUGAAACCGUGUGCGUACAAGCAGUAGGAGCUCCGCAAGGAGUGACUGCGUACCUUUUGUAUAAUGGGUCAGCGACUUACUGUUCGUGGCAAGCUUAACCGUAUAGGGGAGGCGAAGGGAAACCGAGUCUGAUAAGGGCGCAUAGUCGCGGGCAGUAGACCCGAAACCGGGUGAUCUAGUCAUGCCCAGGGUGAAGGUGCGGUAACACGCACUGGAGGCCCGAACCCACUCCCGUUGCAAAGGUAGGGGAUGAGGUGUGAUUAGGAGUGAAAAGCUAAUCGAACCCGGAGAUAGCUGGUUCUCCUCGAAAGCUAUUUAGGUAGCGCCUCAUAUGUAUCCUCUCGGGGGUAGAGCACUGUUAUGGCUAGGGGGUCAUCGCGACUUACCAAACCAUUGCAAACUCCGAAUACCGAGACGGACUGUAUGGGAGACACACGGCGGGUGCUAACGUCCGUCGUGAAAAGGGAAACAACCCAGACCCACAGCUAAGGUCCCAAAUUCAGUGCUAAGUGGAAAACCAUGUGGAAAGGCACAGACAGCCAGGAGGUUGGCUUAGAAGCAGCCACCCUUUAAAGAAAGCGUAAUAGCUCACUGGUCGAGUCGGUCUGCGGGGAAGAUUUAACGGGGCUAAGCACUGAACCGAAGCUUGGGGUGCAUAACUUUGUUAUGCGCGGUAGAGGAGCGUUCCGUAAGCCUGCGAAGGUGGAUUGAGAAGUCUGCUGGAGGUAUCGGAAGUGCGAAUGCUGACAUGAGUAACGAUAAUGCGGGUGAAAAACCCGCACGCCGAAAGCCCAAGGUUUCCUUGCGCAACGUUAAUCGGCGCAGGGUGAGUCGGCCCCUAAGGCGAGGACGAAAGUCGUAGUCGAUGGGAAGCAGGUUAAUAUUCCUGCACCUCGCGUAAGUGCGAUGGAGGGACGGAGAAGGUUAGGUGUACCGGGCGUUGGUUGUCCCGGGGAAAGGCGGUAGGUUUGGAUCUUUGGCAAAUCCGGGAUCCUU